rnacentral:rRNA from 1 species
GGAUUCCCCUAGUAACUGCGAGUGAAGCGGGAAAAGCUCAAAUUUAAAAUCUGGCGGUCUUUGGCCGUCCGAGUUGUAGUCUGGAGAAGUGCUUUCCGCGCUGGACCGUGUAUAAGUCUCUUGGAACAGAGCGUCAUAGAGGGUGAGAAUCCCGUCUUUGACACGGACUACCAGUGCUUUGUGAUGCGCUCUCAAAGAGUCGAGUUGUUUGGGAAUGCAGCUCAAAAUGGGUGGUGAAUUCCAUCUAAAGCUAAAUAUUGGCGAGAGACCGAUAGCGAACAAGUACCGUGAGGGAAAGAUGAAAAGCACUUUGGAAAGAGAGUUAAACAGUACGUGAAAUUGCUGAAAGGGAAACGCUUGAAGUCAGUCGCGUCUGCCGGAACUCAGCCUUCCUUUUGGUUGGUGCACUUUCCGGUAGACGGGCCAGCAUCGAUUUCGACCGUUGGAAAAGGGCUAGAGAAAUGUGGCACCUUCGGGUGUGUUAUAGUCUCUAGUCGCAUACAGCGGUUGGGAUCGAGGAACGCAGCGCGCCGCAAGGCAGGGCUUCGGCCACUUUCGCGCUUAGGAUGCUGGCAUAAUGGCUUUAAACGACCCGUCUUGAAACACGGACCAAGGAGUCUAACAAACCUGCGAGUGUUUGGGUGGAAAACCCGAGCGCGUAAUGAAAGUGAAAG